UCCCUUUGCUCUGCAAAUCUCCCCUGUGGCGCGAGGUGGAGCUUCCGUGCAACAUCAUUCCUUGUUGUCUACGCUUUGUAUUCAAAUAUUUUCCGCUGCUCCCCUCUUUUGUCCUCCUCCUCUGCUCUGCAAUUCUUCACCUCUCCCCUCCCCCACACCCAUGAUCGUCGCUAGAUCCCAGCAGUCCGACGCUCCUCCGGUCGUUCUCCCCUCUUGCCCGUCAACCUCCCCAUGGCGAGGGGCUCGCCCAAGCAAUCCCAACCCCCCGCCCCCACCCGCGGCCUCGUCGCCGGGAACUACUGCCACGACGUCCUCUUCCGGGACGGCGCCGCCGUGGCCGAGUCCCUCGGCGGCGCCGUCUCCUUCAUCUCCGCCGUGCUCGACGGCCUCUCGGUCCCCUUCGACUCGGUGUCGAAGGUGGGUCCGGAUUUCAAGUACUCGACGGCGGCUCGCUGCUCGAUCGUGGCGCCCGAUUGCGUGACCACCCUCUUCCAUGCAUACUUCGAUUCGGGCUCGGGCGAGAGCGGGCAUGUGGACCGCGUCCUGAAACGGGUCGGCUCUUGCGACCCGAUCGCACCUUCGGAUCUCCCCGGAGGAAAAUUUAAUUUUGGGAUGGCGGUUGGGGUCGGGGGCGAGAUAUUGGUGGAGACGCUCGAGAAAAUGAUCGAGAUGUGUGACGUGGUGUUUGUAGAUAUUCAGGCCCUGAUUCGGGUCUUCGAUGGUGUCGAUGGAACAGUGAGGCUUGUGGAGUUGAAGGAGAGUGGGUUUUAUCAUCUCCUGCCUCGAAUUGGGUUCAUCAAGGCAUCAUCCGAAGAAGCGGCUUAUAUGGACGUGGAGGAGGUGAGGAACUGGUGCUGUGUUGUGGUCACAAAUGGGAAGGAUGGGUGUACUUUGUACUGGAAAGAUGGAGAGAUGAAGAUCGAACCCUUUGUCGCUAGUCAGGUUGAUCCAACAGGUGCUGGCGAUAGCUUUUUGGGUGGGUUGGUUGCUGGGCUUGUGCAGGGAUUGACUGUUCCUGAUGCAGCUCUUUUGGGGAAUUUGUUUGGUUCACUGACAGUUGGGCAAGUUGGGCUUCCCAAAUUUGAGUUGAGACUCUUGCAGCAGUAGAGUUCUUGGAACAUACUAAAAAAGGGGGUGGAUAGUAUUCCAUGUAUUAGUUAUGGUGCUUGCAGGACGAAGCAAUGUCAUCCAGUUCCCAACUAUGUGUGUGGCAGAAAGAAACCACCUUGUACCUUGAUAUUUUGUUUUCAUUAAAUGCCAAUGACGUGUGGGGGAUACAUCGGAUACUUUCUCGAAAAUGAUAGAUCCUUUAUAAAUAGGAAAAUGACACAAAUGGUCCUUCAACUUUGGUCCAAAUUGUAAUGUGGUCCCUAAACUUUUUAUUUUUUUUGUUUUAACGUAGUUCCUGAACUUUGAUCCACUAUGCAAUGUUAUUAUUGAUAUUUUAACUUGUUCAAUGUGGUCCCUGCACUUUGGUCCAAUGUUCAAUGUGGUUCCUAAACUUUUAAACAUUUUCAUAAAGUCUAAAGACUACGUUGAACAUUUACCAAUAUAUUAGGGACCAUAUUAAAUGAACUAAAAGUCUAGGGACGAUAUAGCACAUUGAGCGGAAGUUCAGGGAUCAUAUUGCAUAAAUCAAAAGUUUAGGGACCACGUUACAUAUUGGACCAAAGUUCAGAGACUAUCCGUGUUAUUAUCCCUUUUUAAUUCUAGCAAUCUUGCUGGGAAAGAUUGCUCUGUUGCCAUGAUAAUUAGACAGACAACCUUGCAUAAUUGUUGCAGCAACAUUUGUCCUUUGACAAUUUUAGGACUCCAUACAGUUGUUUGAUAAUUGUUUCAUCCUAAGAUCAAGCAAAUGGACAUGAUAUGCUGUCUUGUCAGCGGUAGGUAAGCUUCUAUACGUUGAUGUCUGUCAUACGAUUAAUUAAAUGUCAAAGAGAGGACUCCCCUGAAUUCUGCAACUUUGUUAGCUGAACCUGGUAAUGUUAGCUGAACUUGGUAAGGGAGGCGCAUCUUUCCCUGAUGAAUUUGUGAACAUUCAUUCGACUGAGAGUUUCAUUCUAGUUAGUUUUUUUGGUCAGCAAUGAUAUGGUUGAAUUGAAAAGGGAAUUUGACAAGGCUUAAGGCUUAAGGCUGGUAAAUAUCCCAUCAAAGCGUCACAUGGCAUUGUUCUUUGCCUGGUUCGUGGGGGAUAGUUUAUUGGUUUAGGUUUGUUCGCUUCAGUUAGGGUUCCACUUAAUCGAAAAACACUUCAUUGUCAUUGGACGGCAUUCUAGUUGCUUUGGUUGAUCAAGCCAUGACUUGGAUAAAUGUCAAUUAGAUAUCCCUUAGGCUAGCAAGCUCUAAUUCUGUUGUUGUCGCAUACAAUUACCUGGUUACAAUGUAAGAGCAUUUACUAGAAUGGGAGGUUACAUAGUCAGGAAUUUCUCGUAUGCUGUGUCGAUGGUGGAACUUUGUGGGACGAUGCAUGCUUUGGCAUCCACCUACCCUAGAGUAAUUAAGCAUCAUCUAGGCUUUCCUUAAGAGAAGUUUCGGACACUGUUGUUUUCAUAUUUUACCAAUUUUGUUCUCGGUAUUUGCAUUUUCUCACCUUCUGCAAUCACAAUGCUCACCCCAUGACCUCGUUGACCUGGCCAUGCUCUGUUUCCAUGAGUUGACGAAACUUUAUUUCUGUAAAUAUUUUAAUAGGGUGUCAAGGAUGAAGUAGAAA